UACGUAGGGGGCAAGCGUUGUCCGGAAUCAUUGGGCGUAAAGAGCUUGUAGGCGGCUCGGUAAGUCCGCUGUGAAAGUCCAGGGCUCAACCCUGGAAUGCCGGUGGAAACUGUCGAGCUAGAGUCCGGAAGAGGCGAGUGGAAUUCCUGGUGUAGCGGUGAAAUGCGCAGAUAUCGGGAGGAACACCGAUGGCGAAGGCAGCACUCUGGGCCGGUACUGACGCUGAGGAGCGAAAGCGUGGGGAGCGAACAGG
rnacentral:rRNA from 1 species